CAUCAGCAGCAAAAAGGCCGUUUUAUGCUUCUGUGGAGGCUCCACGCAGAGCUUUCGCCGUAGCCUGCGUAAGUGGCCUGGUGUUUAUACCUGCAUAUAGUAGUGUGUGUGUGUGUGUGUGUGUGUGUGUGUGUGUGUGUGUGUGUGUGUGUGUGUGUGUGUGUGUG